UACGUAGGGUCCGAGCGUUGUCCGGAAUUACUGGGCGUAAAGAGCUCGUAGGUGGUUUGUCGCGUUGUUCGUGAAAACUCACAACUCAAUUGCGGGCGUGCGGGCGAUACGGGCAGACUUGAGUACUGCAGGGGAGACUGGAAUUCCUGGUGUAGCGGUGGAAUGCGCAGAUAUCAGGAGGAACACCGGUGGCGAAGGCGGGUCUCUGGGCAGUAACUGACGCUGAGGAGCGAAAGCGUGGGGAGCGAACAGG
rnacentral:rRNA from 1 species